UUGCUCUUUUCAGAAUUGAGUGGCAAACGGGUGAGUAACACGUAAACAACCUGCCUUCAGGAUGGGGACAACAGACGGAAACGACUGCUAAUACCGCAUGACGCAUGACCGGGGCAUCCCGGGCAUGUCAAAGAUUUUAUCGCUGGAAGAUGGCCUCGCGUCUGAUUAGCUAGAUGGUGGGGUAACGGCCCACCAUGGCGACGAUCAGUAGCCGGACUGAGAGGUUGACCGGCCACAUUGGGACUGAGAUACGGCCCAGACUCC
rnacentral:rRNA from 1 species